CUGCCCUCCCCUCCGCUCUGCCCACCCUGGACCCCAGGGAGUCCCUAACCCUUUGGAACCCGCAGCCCAUUGCAUGCCAAAGUGAAGGUGCUGGGGCUGGAGGCCGACAAGCUCACCAUCCUCCGGGGCUGCCCAGGGCUGCCCGGGGCCCAGGGGCUCAAGGGAGAGGCAGGCGCCAACGGCAGGAAAGG